GGUAGCCUAGUUAUUUAAAUGAAUAUAAAGAUAGGCCUACAACAUUUCCAACGCCUUGUACUUUUGCUAUCGCACCGUUCAAACGGUCGUUUUAUGAAACAAACAAUUUGCACCACUUAUUAUCGUACACAUUGAGAUUAGAGGUGUCGCCAAGCCAUUGAGUUCCAGGUGAUUUCCGAACGCUCCGCAAAAUCGAGUAGAAGAGGAUGUUUUUGAAAUGAUUAAAAAAAAAAAAUGCAUUUCCUCUGGGAAUUCGGCCGAACUGUAAGAGAAACAAACUUGGUGAUAACAAGAGGAUUACUUCAACUUCAGGACAGUAGCCACUUCCUUCAUCUGACAAUUAUCUUCUUUGGAAUGUGGACCCAGUAAACAUUUAACUCUGCCCUUCCAGACUCAUCCUGCUGUGAUUUAAUGAUAGACACCUGUGGUGUCACACUAACCAAGGCACAGAGACCAGUCCACC